GACGAACGCUGGCGGCGUGCCUAAUACAUGCAAGUCGAACGCUUCUUUCCUCCCGAGUGCUUGCACUCAAUUGGAAAGAGGAGUGGCGGACGGGUGAGUAACACGUGGGUAACCUACCCAUCAGAGGGGGAUAACACUUGGAAACAGGUGCUAAUACCGCAUAACAGUUUAUGCCGCAUGGCAUAAGAGUGAAAGGCGCUUUCGGGUGUCGUUGAUGGAUGGACCCGCGGUGCAUUAGCUAGUUGGUGAGGUAACGGCUCACCAAGGCCACGAUGCAUAGCCGACCUGAGAGGGUGAUCGGCCACACUGGGACUGAGACACGGCCCAGACUCCUACGGGAGGCCGCAGUAGGGAAUCUUCGGCAAUGGACGAAAGUCUGACCGAGCAACGCCGCGUGAGUGAAGAAGGUUUUCGGAUCGUAAAACUCUGUUGUUAGAGAAGAACAAGGACGUUAGUAACUGAACGUCCCCUGACGGUAUCUAACCAGAAAGCCACGGCUAACUACGUG
rnacentral:rRNA from 1 species